rnacentral:rRNA from 1 species
GAGAGUUGAUCCUGGCUCAGGAUGAACGCUAGCGGCAGGCUUAACACAUGCAAGUCGAGGGGCAGCGCGGGGUAGCAAUACUCUGGCGGCGACCGGCGAAAGGGUGAGUAACGCGUGAGCAACAUGCCCGGUACUGGAGGAUAGUCAUUGGAAACGAUGCGUAAUACUCCGUAACAACAGUUCCCGCAUGAGGAUUGUUUAAGAGAUUUAUCGAUACCGGAUUGGCUCGCGUGCCAUUAGCUGGUUGGCGGGGUAACGGCCCACCAAGGCGACGAUGGCUAGGGGUUCUGAGAGGAAGGUCCCCCACAUUGGAACUGAGACACGGUCCAGACUCCUACGGGAGGCAGCAGUGAGGAAUAUUGGUCAAUGGCCGAGAGGCUGAACCAGCCAUGCCGCGUGCCGGGAGGACGGCCCUAUGGGUUGUAAACCGCUUUUGUUGGGGAGCAAUAAGUCCCACGUGUGGGAUGAUGAGAGUACCCAGCGAAUAAGCAUCGGCUAACUCCGUGCCAGCCGCAGC